UACGUAGGGUGCAAGCGUUGUCCGGAAUUAUUGGGCGUAAAGAGCGUGUAGGCGGCCCGGUUAGUCCGCUGUGAAAGUCCAGGGCUCAACCCUGGAAUGCCGGUGGAUACUGUCGGGCUAGAGUCCGGAAGGGGCGAGUGGAAUUCCUGGUGUAGCGGUGAAAUGCGCAGAUAUCAGGAGGAACACCGGUGGCGAAGGCGGUUCUCUGGGCAUUACCUGACGCUGAGGAGCGAAAGUGUGGGGAGCGAUCCGG
rnacentral:rRNA from 1 species